rnacentral:rRNA from 1 species
ACCGCUCAGAACACGUGGCUAAUUCUGCCCUGGGACCGGGAACACUCCCGGGAAACUGGGGCUAAUUUCUCGAUAGGUGAAGAACUCUGGAAUGAGUCUUCGCCAAAAAGACGUUUACGUUAUGCUCGUAGGCGUCGCCCAAGGAUGAGGCCGCGACCGAUCAGGUUGUUGGUGAGGUAAUGGCUCACCAAGCCUUUUACCGGUGCGGGCCGUGAGAGCGGGAGCCCGGAGAUGGGCACUGAGACAAGGGCCCAGGCCCUACGGGGCGCAGCAGUCGCGAAAACUUUGCAAUACACGAAAGUGUGACAGGGCUAUCCCGAGUGCCAUCCGCUGAGGAAGGCUUUUACCCAGUCUAGAACGCUGGGGGAAUAAGGAGAGGGCAAGUCUGGUGUCAGCCGCCGCGGUAAUACCAGCUCUCCGAGUGGUGUGGAUGUUUAUUGGGCCUAAAGCAUCCGUAGCUGGCUAAGUUAGUCCCUUGUUAAAUCCACCGAAUUAAUCGUUGGAUUGCGGGGGAUACUGCUUGGCUAGGGGACGAGAGAGGCAGACGGUAUUUCCGGGGUAGGGGUGAAAUCCUAUAAUCCCGGGAAGACCACCAGUGGCGAAGGCUGUCUGCUAGAACGCGCCCGACGGUGAGGGAUGAAAGCUGGGGGAGCGAACCGGAUUAGAUACCCGGGUAGUCCCAGCUGUAAACGAUGCAGGCUAGGUGUUUGGACGGCCACGUGCCGUUCUAGUGCCGCAGGGAAGCUGUUAAGCCUGCCGCCUGGGGAGUACGAUCGCAAGAUUGAAACUUAAAGGAAUUGGCGGGGGAGCAC